GGCCCCUUCGUCUAGCGGUUAGGACGUGAGAUUCUCAAUCUCAAAAUAGGAGUUCGAUUCUCCUAGGGGCUA
rnacentral:tRNA from 1 species